rnacentral:lncRNA from 1 species
UAUUACUCUUUAGUCUUUACUUUGCUCACAGCUUUGGAUCACCAAAAAAAAAACUCAAGAGAGACUUUGUGGCCAUGGCAGCCUCUCUCCAAUCCACCGCUACAUUCCUCCAGUCGGCGAAGAUCGCCACCGCUCCUUCUCGCGGAAGUUCUCACCUCCGAUCGACUCAAGCCGUCGGCAAAUCUUUUGGGCUCGAAACUUCCUCGGCUCGCCUCACUUGCUCCUUCCAGUCUGACUUUAAGGACUUCACCGGUAAAUGCUCCGACGCUGUCAAAAUCGCCGGAUUCGCUCUUGCCACCUCUGCUCUCGUCGUCUCGGUAACUUUCUUUAAUCUCCGACUCUCCUUUAAAACUAUAGAUUAAUCAAGAAAAAAAAGGAGAAUUGAGUAACAGAGAAGAAGAGUAUUUUGUUGUGUUUGUGAUAACAUGUUUAUGAUUUGCAUUACUAUGUAUCGAAGUUGGCACUUGAGAACACCUAAACCAAUAACAGACUCGGAUAGUAUAAUAGAAGGAGAAACCGCUAUUCCAAUUCUGUAAUCUUCGAUUCAUGUAGAUACAAUCUUCUUGGAUCAGUGAGUUUGAUUUAAAGUUGCUUGUUUCUCGUGUAAUGAAAGGGAGCAAGUGCGGAGGGAGCUCCAAAGAGAUUGACCUAUGAUGAGAUUCAGAGCAAGACAUACAUGGAAGUGAAAGGAACUGGAACGGCUAACCAGUGCCCUACUAUUGACGGUGGCUCUGAGACUUUCUCGUUCAAACCCGGAAAGUAUGCAGGAAAGAAGUUCUGCUUCGAGCCUACUUCCUUCACCGUCAAGGCAGACAGUGUAAGCAAGAACGCUCCUCCAGAGUUCCAGAACACAAAGCUCAUGACCCGUCUUACCUACACCCUUGACGAGAUCGAAGGACCCUUCG